rnacentral:rRNA from 1 species
GGUUUUUUGGCUUAUAUAGGAGAUCGAGCCUGCCCAUUGAUUAAAGGGCUGCAGUAUUUUGACUGUACAAAGGUAGCAUAAUCAUUAGUUUUUUAAUUGGAGACUGGUAUGAAUGGUUUGACAAAGUCCGACUGUCUUUGGGGUAUUGAAUGAAUUUUCUUUUGUGUGAAAAGGCACAGAUGGGUUAGGGGGACGAGAAGACCCUAUUAAGCUUGAAUUUUAGAAUUAGAGGAAAAGGGAAUAUUUGGCUGGGGCGGCAGAUAGCACAAAUUUUAUGGUAUUUCUUAAUGAAGUGAGAUCCAGUAUACUGAGAUAAGGAAAUAGCUACUAUAGGGAUAACAGCGUAAUAUUUUCUGAGAGUUCUUAUUGACGGGAAUGAUUGCGACCUCGAUGUUGGAUUAAGAAUACUGUUUGGUGAAGUUGCUGAAUAAGAGGGUUUGUUCAACCUUUAAAUUCUU